GCUAUGGCUCAGCUGGUAGAGUAUGGCACUAGCGACGCCAAGGUUGUGGGUUCGUUUCCCAGGGAACA
rnacentral:tRNA from 1 species